AAAAAUUCAAAAUUUAAUCAGUUUCGUAAAAGGGCAACAUCGCUUAAUCAUUUAUAGCGGAGGUCCGUCUGCACUCUGCAGUGUCAACAUUGUAUUGUUAGUCAUUCUGCUAUGCAGAGUGUGGCCGACGCCGACUGAUUGCUGGUUUUAUCUUUACGCCAGACGUAAGUCAUCACCAUUUAUUGAUUUAUAGUGUUUUAUAAAAGACUUGGAAAAUGAAUUGUUUGACAGCAGUCAGCAUUUUCCAAAAAAGUGCAUUGACGUAUAGUUGUUUCUCGAUUGCCUAAUGCCUGCCCCGUCCCCUUACACUUGGUUGUAACAACGCAGGUAAUCCGAGGAAACGUUAGAAAACAGCUCAGGAUUUCCAGAUCUCAUCGGUGCAAGAAGUUAGUCGUAGAUUGUUUCUCUUUCAGUGAAUCUCUUUCAGCGAAUUUUUCAAUCUCUGAUGCUGAUGAUGCUAAAAGUGGUGGUGUUACAAGGAAAUGUUCUUGUAUGAUUCUUAGCCAAUGUGACAAGAUCAUUUAGCUGAAAUAUGACAAGUCUAGACCUUUCAAGUACAGUGGUGUGACUUUGAAAAUUGUCUGUGCCUAUGGAAUAAUCUGGCAAUGAAGACCAAUCAUCUCUUGAAGUGAAGUUGAACACUAUCUGAACUGCUUAAACUAGCCAUGAUGAUUGGCCGAAAUAGCAAUUUCCACUACAAUUGUGAAUCCUCGUAGACCACAGUUUCACAUUGGAAAACAAAAUAUCACUGUUAAAGAAAAAUGUAAAAGUUAGUUCGGAUCGUCGAGGCGAAAGCAGCCCAGUUUUUGCCUACAUGUUCCGGAUUCGAAGAGCUCUAAAGAUCCCCACGAACAUCCUUGAGCCAAUGCUGGAUUUGUCAAUGACAUAGAGGGACUUGCACCAACGUUCUGACUGCUCCAUCCUUAUCUUCAAGACGUACGCUCAUCCAGCUUCACUACUUCAGUGCUUCUUAUGCUGCUAACCUGCUACACAACUUUUCUUGCUUCACUGGCGAGUUGGAUCCACUUCACGAGUUGGAUUACACUUCAGUUGCUGUGGCACACCUACAGUCGCUCACCACGGGAUUAUGGCCAGACUAUGCAGAGGAGACGUCGAGAAGAUAGACACCAAAACAUCUCCGGUAUCUCCAAAUGAAAAUGUCAGCGCGGAUCAUCAUUUGUUGUUGGUAAUAUGUUUGUGUUAGUUAACCCGUUGGCUGCCACGCCUUUGUUCUCCCCUAGCUCCUUACCACGGGCAACCUAGAGGCCUCCUAGAGGCGUGCAUUCCAUCCUCCCCUGUCAGCCCGGACUUGUCAGCAAUGGCAAGUCCCACCUUGGCCAUGGAUCAUUCAGACAUGGCGCGUAGAGAGUAGAGAACAACCUACGGGUUGUAUGGCGUGGUAGCCAACGGGUUAACCUAAGUGUACGUAUAUGUUUAUAUGUGUGAUUCUAAAAAGUGGAGGAA